rnacentral:lncRNA from 1 species
GAUCCAACCACCCCGGCCUCCCACAGUGCUGGGAUUACAGGCGUGAGGGACUGCACCCGGCCAUCAUCUCUUGGACUUUAAAGGUAUGUUGAAGAGGCCUGGGUAUGAAACCAUAAUAUGGGUGUCAGAUGCUGGAAAGAAGAGGGGCCACUCUGCAUUGCCCUCAGCUGCUGUAGAAAAGCAAUCAAGCAACAAUUUCCCUUAUUUUAGAAAGGGUAUCCCCAUUUCCUCUGGGGAAGCUGCUCCUCCCCCAGUCACCUUCAGUGAGGUUUAGUUGAGGGUGAGGCCCCAGCCUGUUCUCCCAUAGAGGGCACAUGACCACGGUUUAGGCCAAUCAGUGUAGUCCACCCUCUGGCUAGAGUGAUUGGUGCAGGGAAGGGCAUGUGACCCAAAAGGGGCCAAUGAGACUCAGUUCUGGAACUUUUGAUGGGGCUGUUGGAGUCUCCUGUUGCUGCAGCUGCUGAGCUGUGGGGAUGUAAGUCUGGAGCAGCAGAAACCACCCUGUGACGAGAGCUGGCCUGGACACAGAGGAAAGCUGAGCCAAGACAGGGAGAGAGAAUGAGGUUUACUCUCCUCAUUCGAGCUGCGUGAUCCAACUGUAGGGGAAAGCAGCAUCCCUAGAGCUUCUCAUUACACACACCAAACACAUUCCCCCUUUUGCUGAAGUCACUUUAAGUUGGAUUUUGCUCACUUGCAACUGAGUGUGUUGACCAGCUCAAGAAUACAAGUAGGGAAACCAGAGAGUCAAUUACUCCACCUCCGCCUGGUCCAGGAGGAGCAACUGUGGCAAGUCCAGCAGGGUCACCCUCUCUAGCUGCUGGGAGCUGAGAUUUCCACUCCAGCUUCUUUGGCUGCCUUGGGGAAAUCAACGGAGUUUCCAGGAGUGUGAUGGGAAUGGUCAAGCUAUCUCCCGCCCAGCAAUAAAACCAGAUGUGGAAGCAGAUGGUGGUGACCAGGAGAGCAUUCAAGCUACAGGCAGAGACUCUCGUCCCACUCUCAACCCUUGUCUUAGAAUUACUGGACCAGAGGAAAACAGUCCCUUUAACUGAAAGCAGUGGAAGAACAGGCCAGGCCAGUGAGGUGGAAAAAGUUUCACGGUCGGUUGGACACACCUGCUGGAAUCCUGAUCCUUCACUUCCCAGCUGAGUGGAUGAUGUAAAACCACGGAUCCUCUUUGAUGCUCAAUUUCUUCCUCUGUGCAACGGGAAUGUCAAUCUCAGCCUUCCGAGUUGUUGUGUGAGAACAAGGUGGUAGACACUUUCUAGUGGGUCUGGUGCGUAGUAGGAGCACAAUGAAGGUGCUGGCUCUCAUGGCUUCUCUUUCUCCUGCCCUCCUCUUGACUUUCAGGUCCCCUGCUUGGCCUGUUUCACUGCCAAGUUCUAGGUCAUUUGAAACUGCAGAGGCCAGACCUUGGCCUUUAGGUCUCACUGAUCCUGUGGCCUUGGGCAAGUCCAUUUGCCUUUCUGGGCCUUGGUUUCCUCCUUUGGGAAAUGAGAGAGACUUGGGCAGGGUCCCUGGUCCCCAGCCUGGGGCUCUUCUAUCUCUGGGGUUAGAAGAAGGGAGGGCACUUUCUGGCAGCAAGGCCGGCCUGCCUAACAAUAUUGCUUGCUAUAUUUCUUAGCUUUGGGUUGGAAUGACAUCACCUCACCUCGUGGCUUACCUCUUGCUGAUCAAAGCUCUGACUGGCAGUUAAGUGUCUUUGAUUAAUAAAAAAUGGGGAAAAUGAAUUAAUCAUGACUUAAAUGCAGCAUGUUUGGGAAACAGAAUCUUUAAAAAGUCAAAUCCACUGAAGUCAAGAGGGAAAGAAAAAAAGGCGUCCUUGAGGGUGAAAGGUUGGGGACCCCUGGAGUGGAUGUCCAUAGAGCCCUCCAAUUGUGCACAGGGGACCUGUAUGGCUGGCAGGGGGCCUGUGGGUGUUGGGGACAGGAGGAUCGGUCCCUUUAAGGAUCCUCUCCUCCCCAGCAAGCCCCAGGCCUGUGCGGAGGAGGACAUGCAUUAUUGAAAGCGCAUUUCAAUACCUAUUCAGUCUCCUCCUCCUCCUGUGGGUGGCAAUCACAGUUUACAUAAUCUGUCUCUCUGUCCUCCCAGGCAGCUGCUCCCUUCUGGCUGAGUGGUUUGAGGAGGGGGAGGGAGGGGAGAGGGAGAUACAUUAACUCUGUGCUGUCACCUCAAGUAGUGGCCAAGCUGCCAUAAAAUGAAGGAAGGAAAGCAAGCUCUGACAUCAUCACACAGCCCUGGGUUCAAGUGUCACUUAGGUGCUGUCUGAUUUUGGCUCCCCCCACUUUGCUGCCUCCCCUGUAACCUUGAUCCACUCCAUUAUAGUCUCUGUAUUAAUAGCUCCUAAACCUCUGUUUCCAGCCCAGACCUCUCUCCCGAACUUGGGGUUCAUCUAUCAACAACUUGAGGGGCAGCUCUGUUUGUGUUUACAGGCAGUUCAGGCUAAGCCCAUUCCAAACUGAUCUCACCAGUUAUCUCUGAACCAUUCAUCCAUCCAUCUAUCUAUUUAUUCAUCCCUUCAUCCACUCAUUAUCCAACCAAUCGUCCAUCGUUCAUACGCUCCACCACUCACUCAUUCAUUCACCUACCCUCAUCUAUCCUACCAUCCAUGCAUUCACCCAUCCAGCUGUCUGUUUUCCAUCCAUCUCACCACUCAUCCAUCCAUCCAUCCAUCCAUCCCUCCAUCCAUCAUUUACUAAGGGUCUGGCAUUUGUCAACAUUGGGUGUACAGCAACAGGCAAGACAGGCACUGACUUUGUCCUGACGAUACUUAAAGUCCUGUGAAGGAGACAGACAAGCAAAUAGAAUAGUAUAAUAAACACGAAAAAUAUGAUAAUAGGGGAAGCAUAAGGUGCUGCUAGAGCACAGGUGAAGCACCCAACACAUCCUUAAGGGAUUAGAGAAGACUUUUUUUUGAGGAGAUGACACCUGAGGGCUAAGAAGGCGUGAGCCUGUUCCUUUCCCUGUGUUUCUUGUCUCCGUUGCUCAAGGAGCUUGAUUCGUAACAGCCAUUUCCCCUUCUUUUUGUAACUGUGAAAUGGCCCCUCUCUGGGAAGAUGUUCCCCUUUCCCACUCAUGGUCCUUAUGGGUUGGGUGGGAGGAUCCCAUCAUUAACGGGUCCGUGUGAUAGCGUGGGACCCAGGCCUGGCUAUGGGAAUGGGUUAGGGCUGAGUCCACUGACGUUCAAUCACAGAGCUUUGCUGACACCACUGGAAUGGGUGCCCGAUUUUCACUGGAGUUGCUCAGCUGAUAGGAAGGAGAUGGCUGUGUUCCCACUCUGCAAAGGAAGGCCUGCCCAACAUGGGGGAUGGCAGUGGAGAGAUGUAGAAAGAUAGAGUGUUGUGGUCACUGUCUGAAGCCCUGGGGCCAUGUGUGUCUGACCUAGCAACAUCAGACUUUCCCUUUUCCCUUCAGGCCAUCUUGAGUUGGGUUUCUGUCACUUAAGUCUAAAGAGCCUCGUUAACGGUAAAGACUCUCAUUUACAGUAGGAAGCGUUUCCACAUCCUUUGUCUCAUUGGUUUGUACAAUAGCCCUAGGAGGCUGUUUCCAGAUGAUGAAAUGAAGGCUUAGAGAGUUGAGUCACUGGGCUGAGACCCUGGUCUGUUAGACAUCAAAGUCCACGUGGUCUACCAGGGCACCUUGGAGGUUAGGAAGGAAGGAUGCUAGAGAGUGGGACUUAGACUUGAGAGAAAAGGAUGGAAGGAAAACGAAAUUGAGGACAAAACUCAAAAGUACGUCUUAUGGUCUGUGAAGGGACAGGUGGGGAAGAAAAAAAGUACAGAUGAAAGAGAAAAUGAAGGAGAAGGUGGUGAGAUCGGUAAGGAAGUGAGUCAGAAUCAGAGAACUAUAAAGUGAAAGAAAGAUGACAUUCAAAUUCCCUACGUUCCAGGCAAAUGAGCUGGUCCUUAAACAACUGUCCACAGGAGAGGCCCAGAGUCAGCCCACGUUUCAUUGCAUGAUCGUAUUUCAAGGUGACUAAAAACAUCACCUCUUCCUUGAAGCCCUCAGGAACCCUCCUACUCUGCAGCCCCCAUCAGUGUCUCCUUUAUCACACUGGCCACUUUCAGCCUCCCCAUUUCACUUAUUUAGGUACAUGACUCAUCUCUCUUGCAGGGAAGUCCAUGUCUUACUCAUCUUUGAUUAGACCCAAGCUCCUCACCUUAUGCCUGCACCCGGUAGGGGCUCAGUGCAUUUAAAAAUACAUAUAUUUAUUUGAAGGAAAUGAGUGUCCCAAUAAGAAGUAAAUUUAGGGCCGGGCGUG